rnacentral:lncRNA from 1 species
UUGUGGGGUGGGGAUGGGAUGGGAUGGAAUGAAUUUGGUUGUUGGCGGGGAAGAAGAUUAGGGAGAAAUAUGAGUUUAGUUUUUAUUUUUAUUUGUCUUUUUUUUAUAAUGUUUUUUAAUUUUAAAAAUUCAUUCAUUUUAAAAAGAAGAAAUUUUUAUUAUUUUUUAGUCUAUGUGGAUGCUACAUCAUGUUAAAACUGGAAUCCAAUUUUACCACAUCAACAAUUAAUAUAAUUUUUAACAUUUUUCCUACAUAUUCUACAUAAUUAAGCCCCUUUCAGUAAACUGUGGUUUUUUUCUCUAUAGAUCAUUAGUAAAAAGAACUCACCAGUUUAUGGUAUUU